rnacentral:misc_RNA from 1 species
GAUGAAGAACGCAGCGAAAUGCGAUAAGUAAUGCGAAUUGCAGAAUUUCCGUGAAUCAUCGAAUCUUUGAACGCACAUUGCGCCCUUUGGUAUUCCUUAGGGCAUGCCUGUUCGAGCGUCAUUUAAACCUUCAAGCUCAGCUUGGUGAUGGGUGACUGUCCUCCCCUCGCGGGGGGACUCGCCUCAAAAACAUUGGCGGCCGGUACAUUGGCUUCGAGCGCAGCAGAAACGCGGUCUCGAGUCCGGUGGAUCGGCUCCCAUAAGUCUAUUCUUUUAUUUUGACCUCGGAUCAGGUAGGGAUACCCGCUGAACUUAAGCAUAUCAAUAAGCGAGGA